CAUGCCCCUUAUACGCUGGGCUACACACGUGCUACAAUGGGUAGUACAGAGAGUCGCAAAGCCGCGAGGUGGAGCUAAUCUCAGAAAACUAUUCUUAGUUCGGAUUGUACUCUGCAACUCGAGUACAUGAAGUUGGAAUCGCUAGUAAUCGCGAAUCAGCAAUGUCGCGGUGAAUACGUUCUCGGGUCUUGUACACACCGCCCGUCACACCACGAGAGUUGGUUGCACCUGAAGUAGCAGGCCUAACCGUAAGGAGGGAUGCUCCGAGGGUGUGAUUAGCGAUUGGGGUGAAGUCGUAACAAGGUAUCCGUACGGGAACGUGCGGAUGGAUCACCUCCUUUCUAAGGAGAAAAUGUCUUUCUCUAUUCUAUUGGUAAUGUUCUUUACAUUACUUCUGAACAUUGGAAACUAUAUAGUAGAACAAACAAGAAAACAAAAUUAACUCUAACAAUUUCUUAGAGUUAGCUGUCAAAAAAAAUAGAUUAAAAUAAUUAAGGGCACACAAAGGAUGCCUUGGUAGUAAGAGCCGAUGAAGGACGUGGUAAGCUGCGAUAAGCCUAG
rnacentral:sRNA from 1 species